rnacentral:rRNA from 1 species
AGGUGCGAAAGCGUGGGGAGCAAACGGGAUUAGAUACCCCGGUAGUCCACGCCGUAAACGAUGUCUACUAGCCGUUGGAGGACUUGAUCCUUUAGUGGCGCAGCUAACGCGAUAAGUAGACCGCCUGGGGAGUACGGUCGCAAGAUUAAAACUCAAAUGAAUUGACGGGGGCCCGCACAAGCGGUGGAGCAUGUGGUUUAAUUCGAAGCAACGCGAAGAACCUUACCUACUCUUGACAUCCAGUGAACUUUUGAGAGAUCAAUUGGUGCCUUCGGGAACACUGAGACAGGUGCUGCAUGGCUGUCGUCAGCUCGUGUUGUGAAAUGUUGGGUUAAGUCCCGUAACGAGCGCAACCCUUGUCCUUAGUUACCAUCAUUAAGUUGGGGACUCUAAGGAGACUGCCGGUGACAAACCGGAGGAAGGCGGGGACGACGUCAAGUCAUCAUGGCCCUUACGAGUAGGGCUACACACGUGCUACAAUGGCAUGUACAAAGGGUUGCCAAGCCGCGAGGUGGAGCUAAUCCCAUAAAGCAUGUCGUAGUCCGGAUUGGAGUCUGCAACUCGACUCCAUGAAGUCGGAAUCGCUAGUAAUCGUGAAUCAGAAUGUCACGGUGAAUACGUUCCCGGGCCUUGUACACACCGCCCGUCACACCAUGGGAGUGGGUUGCUCCAGAAGUAGAUAGCUUAACCUUCGGGAGGGCGUUUACCACGGAGUGAUUCAUGACUGGGGUGAAGUCGUAACAAGGUAGCCGUA